CCAAGAAUAACAGUGCGAGUCUCUAUUGGCAGAGAUUUAUUAUUAUCUACAAAAAAAAAAAGAAAAGUAUUUUUGUUUUUGUUUCUUCUUUCGAUCUUCUUCUUCUUCUGCCAAAAGAGACUUGCCCUGCCAUUCCAUU
rnacentral:pre_miRNA from 1 species